UGACGGUUUCGUUGACUCGACAAGCGG
rnacentral:piRNA from 1 species